rnacentral:rRNA from 1 species
AUUGAACGCUGGCGGCAUGCCUUACACAUGCAAGUCGAACGGCAGCGCGGGCUUCGGCCUGGCGUCGAGUGGCGAACGGGUGAGUAAUGCAUCGGAACCUGCCCGGUAGUGGGGGAUAGCGCGGCGAAAGCCGGACUAAUACCGCAUACGACCUGAGGGUGAAAGCGGGGGAUCGAAAGGCCUCGCGCUAUUGGAUCGGCCGAGGUCGGAUUAGCUAGUUGGUGGGGUAAAGGCUUACCAAGGCGACGAUCCGUAGCUGGUCUGAGAGGACGACCAGCCACACUGGAACUGAGACACGGCCCAGACUCCUACGGGAGGCAGCAGUGGGGAAUUUUGGACAAUGGGGGAAAGCCUGAUCCAGCCAUGCCGCGUGCGGGAAGAAGGCCUUCGGGUUGUAAACCGCUUUUGUUCGGGAAGAAAUGCACUAGGCUAAUACCUCGGGGGGAUGACGUUACCGGAAGAAUAAGCACCGGCUAACUACGUG